CACGGAGUUAGCCGGUGCUUAUUCAUAUAGUACCGUCAUUAUCUUCCUAUAUAAAAGGAGUUUACGCACCGAAAUGUGUCAUCCUCCACGCGGCGUUGCUGCAUCAGACUUUCGUCCAUUGUGCAAUAUUCCCCA
rnacentral:rRNA from 1 species